GACGAACGCUGGCGGCGUGCUUAACACAUGCAAGUCGAACGGAAAGGCCCUGCUUUUGUGGGGUGCUCGAGUGGCGAACGGGUGAGUAACACGUGAGUAACCUGCCCUUGACUUUGGGAUAACUUCAGGAAACUGGGGCUAAUACCGGAUAGGAGCUCCUGCUGCAUUGUGGGGGUUGGAAAGUUUCGGCGGUUGGGGAUGGACUCGCGGCUUAUCAGCUUGGUGGUGGGGUAGUGGCUUACCAAGGCUUUGACGGGUAGCCGGCCUGAGAGGGUGACCGGCCACAUUGGGAUUGAGAUAGGGCCCAGCCUCCAACGGGAGGCAGCGGGGGGGAAUAUGGCACAAUGGGCGGAAGCCGGUGGCGGCAACGCGGGGUGCGGGAUGACGGCCUUGGGGUUGAAAACCGCUUUAGCCUGGGACGAAGCGUUAGUGACGGUAAUAGGUAAAGAAGCACCGGCUAACUACGUG
rnacentral:rRNA from 1 species